rnacentral:rRNA from 1 species
GUUGAUCCUGGCUCAGAACGAACGCUGGCGGCGUGGUUGAUACAUGCAAGUCGGACGGGAACGUUCCCUUCGGGGAACUAGUACAGUGGCGGACGGGUGAGUAACGCGUGAUCAAUCUACCCUCAGGAGGGGGAUAGCCACUCGAAAGAGUGGGUAAUACCCCAUAAGACCACAGUCUCUCAUGAGACAGAGGUAAAACAGUUGGGAUCUUCGGACCUUCUGCCUGAGGAUGAGAUCGCGUCCUAUUAGCUUGUUGGUAGGGUAAUGGCCUACCAAGGCUUUGAUGGGUAGCCGGCCUGAGAGGGUGGACGGCCACACUGGAACUGAGACACGGUCCAGACUCCUACGGGAGGCAGCAGUGCUGAAUUAUUCGCCAAUGCGCGAAAGCGUGACGGUGCGACGCCGCGUGCGGGACGAAGGCUUUCGAGUCGUAAACCGCUGUCAGGGUCUAGGAAACCGCAGUCGUUAAUAGCGGCUGUGCUGACCAGGCCCAAAGGAAGCACAGGCUAAUCUCGUGCCAGCAGCCGCGGUAAUACGAGAUGUGCAAGCGUUGUUCGGAAUCACUGGGCAUAAAGGGUGCGCAGGCGGCUUAGUAAGUCAGGGGUGAAAUCCCUCGGCUCAACCGGGGAAUUGCUUUUGAUACUGCUAAGCUUGAGAGCGAAAGGGGCAAGUGGAAUUCCAGGUGUAGCGGUGGAAUGCGUAGAUAUCUGGGAGAACGCCGAUGGCGAAGGCAGCUUGCUGGGUCGCUUCUGACGCUCAGGCACGAAAGCUAGGGGAGCAAACAGGAUUAGAUACCCUGGUAGUCCUAGCUGUAAACGUUGGGUACUAGGUUCCGGGAUUUCUGAUGAUUUCGGGGCCGCAGUUAAUGCAUUAAGCACCCCGCCUGGGGAGUAUGGUCGCAAGGCUAAAACUCAAAGGAAUUGACGGGGGCUCACACAAGCGGUGGAGCAUGUUGUUCAAUUCGAAGCAACGCGAAGAACCUUACCUGGCCUUGACAUGCUAGAAGUACGAACCUGAAAGGGGGAGGACCGGUAUCCAGUCCGGAACUAGCACAGGUGCUGCAUGGCUGUCGUCAGCUCGUGUCGUGAGACGUUGGGUUAAGUCCCGUAACGAGCG